UUAAGCGACUAAGCGUACACGGUGGAUGCCCUGGCAGUCAGAGGCGAUGAAGGACGUGCUAAUCUGCGAUAAGCGUCGGUAAGGUGAUAUGAACCGUUAUAACCGGCGAUUUCCGAAUGGGGAAACCCAGUGUGAUUCGUCACACUAUCAUUAACUGAAUCCAUAGGUUAAUGAGGCGAACCGGGGGAACUGAAACAUCUAAGUACCCCGAGGAAAAGAAAUCAACCGAGAUUCCCCCAGUAGCGGCGAGCGAACGGGGAGCAGCCCAGAGCCUGAAUCAGUGUGUGUGUUAGUGGAAGCGUCUGGAAAGGCGCGCGAUACAGGGUGACAGCCCCGUACACAAAAAUGCACAUACUGUGAGCUCGAUGAGUAGGGCGGGACACGUGGUAUCCUGUCUGAAUAUGGGGGGACCAUCCUCCAAGGCUAAAUACUCCUGACUGACCGAUAGUGAACCAGUACCGUGAGGGAAAGGCGAAAAGAACCCCGGCGAGGGGAGUGAAAAAGAACCUGAAACCGUGUACGUACAAGCAGUGGGAGCACAGAGCAAUCUGUGUGACUGCGUACCUUUUGUAUAAUGGGUCAGCGACUUAUAUUCUGUAGCAAGGUUAACCGAAUAGGGGAGCCGAAGGGAAACCGAGUCUUAACUGGGCGUUAAGUUGCAGGGUAUAGACCCGAAACCCGGUGAUCUAGCCAUGGGCAGGUUGAAGGUUGGGUAACACUAACUGGAGGACCGAACCGACUAAUGUUGAAAAAUUAGCGGAUGACUUGUGGCUGGGGGUGAAAGGCCAAUCAAACCGGGAGAUAGCUGGUUCUCCCCGAAAGCUAUUUAGGUAGCGCCUCGUGAAUUCAUCUCCGGGGGUAGAGCACUGUUUCGGCAAGGGGGUCAUCCCGACUUACCAACCCGAUGCAAACUGCGAAUACCGGAGAAUGUUAUCACGGGAGACACACGGCGGGUGCUAACGUCCGUCGUGAAGAGGGAAACAACCCAGACCGCCAGCUAAGGUCCCAAAGUCAUGGUUAAGUGGGAAACGAUGUGGGAAGGCCCAGACAGCCAGGAUGUUGGCUUAGAAGCAGCCAUCAUUUAAAGAAAGCGUAAUAGCUCACUGGUCGAGUCGGCCUGCGCGGAAGAUGUAACGGGGCUAAACCAUGCACCGAAGCUGCGGCAGCGACGCUUAUGCGUUGUUGGGUAGGGGAGCGUUCUGUAAGCCUUUGAAGGUGUACUGUGAGGUAUGCUGGAGGUAUCAGAAGUGCGAAUGCUGACAUAAGUAACGAUAAAGCGGGUGAAAAGCCCGCUCGCCGGAAGACCAAGGGUUCCUGUCCAACGUUAAUCGGGGCAGGGUGAGUCGACCCCUAAGGCGAGGCCGAAAGGCGUAGUCGAUGGGAAACAGGUUAAUAUUCCUGUACUUGGUGUUACUGCGAAGGGGGGACGGAGAAGGCUAUGUUGGCCGGGCGACGGUUGUCCCGGUUUAAGCGUGUAGGCUGGUUUUCCAGGCAAAUCCGGAAAAUCAAGGCUGAGGCGUGAUGACGAGGCACUACGGUGCUGAAGCAACAAAUGCCCUGCUUCCAGGAAAAGCCUCUAAGCAUCAGGUAACAUCAAAUCGUACCCCAAACCGACACAGGUGGUCAGGUAGAGAAUACCAAGGCGCUUGAGAGAACUCGGGUGAAGGAACUAGGCAAAAUGGUGCCGUAACUUCGGGAGAAGGCACGCUGAUAUGUAGGUGAAGUCCCUCGCGGAUGGAGCUGAAAUCAGUCGAAGAUACCAGCUGGCUGCAACUGUUUAUUAAAAACACAGCACUGUGCAAACACGAAAGUGGACGUAUACGGUGUGACGCCUGCCCGGUGCCGGAAGGUUAAUUGAUGGGGUCAGCGCAAGCGAAGCUCUUGAUCGAAGCCCCGGUAAACGGCGGCCGUAACUAUAACGGUCCUAAGGUAGCGAAAUUCCUUGUCGGGUAAGUUCCGACCUGCACGAAUGGCGUAAUGAUGGCCAGGCUGUCUCCACCCGAGACUCAGUGAAAUUGAACUCGCUGUGAAGAUGCAGUGUACCCGCGGCAAGACGGAAAGACCCCGUGAACCUUUACUAUAGCUUGACACUGAACAUUGAGCCUUGAUGUGUAGGAUAGGUGGGAGGCUUAGAAGUGUGGACGCCAGUCUGCAUGGAGCCGACCUUGAAAUACCACCCUUUAAUGUUUGAUGUUCUAACGUUGACCCGUGAUCCGGGUUGCGGACAGUGUCUGGUGGGUAGUUUGACUGGGGCGGUCUCCUCCUAAAGAGUAACGGAGGAGCACGAAGGUUGGCUAAUCCUGGUCGGACAUCAGGAGGUUAGUGCAAUGGCAUAAGCCAGCUUGACUGCGAGCGUGACGGCGCGAGCAGGUGCGAAAGCAGGUCAUAGUGAUCCGGUGGUUCUGAAUGGAAGGGCCAUCGCUCAACGGAUAAAAGGUACUCCGGGGAUAACAGGCUGAUACCGCCCAAGAGUUCAUAUCGACGGCGGUGUUUGGCACCUCGAUGUCGGCUCAUCACAUCCUGGGGCUGAAGUAGGUCCCAAGGGUAUGGCUGUUCGCCAUUUAAAGUGGUACGCGAGCUGGGUUUAGAACGUCGUGAGACAGUUCGGUCCCUAUCUGCCGUGGGCGCUGGAGAACUGAGGGGGGCUGCUCCUAGUACGAGAGGACCGGAGUGGACGCAUCACUGGUGUUCGGGUUGUCAUGCCAAUGGCACUGCCCGGUAGCUAAAUGCGGAAGAGAUAAGUGCUGAAAGCAUCUAAGCACGAAACUUGCCCCGAGAUGAGUUCUCCCUGACUCCUUGAGAGUCCUGAAGGAACGUUGAAGACGACGACGUUGAUAGGCCGGAUGUGUAAGCGCAGCGAUGCGUUGAGCUAACCGGUACUAAUGAACCGUGAGGCUUAACCU
rnacentral:rRNA from 1 species